rnacentral:tmRNA from 1 species
GGGGGUGUCUUGGCUUCGACGGGGACGCGGACGCUGAAUGGGGCAUGCCGAGGUGCAGUCACCUCGUAAAUCCGCUGCAAACAAAUAAACGCCAACAACAAGCGUUUCGCUCUCGCCGCCUAAUAGGCGAGAUGCUGCACUGAUUUGACUAUGGGUCAGGUCGGGCAACCGACAGCAGCAUCGUUUUACAUAGCCUAGGUUCUGCAGCCGUCGUCGAUGCAGAGCCGAAACCAAGACGUCUAGCCUGCUGUUGGCCCGUCGAUCGGCAAAGCCGCAGGCGAAUCUCAAAUCAUUCGACUACGCAUGUAGAACCAUCGGAAAAAGGUUUCCGGACGCGGGUUCAACUCCCGCCACCUCCACCA